GCCUUGGUAGCUCAGUGGAUAGAGCGACCCCCUCCUAAGGGGUAGGUCGUAAGUUCGAUUCUUACCCAGGGCACCA
rnacentral:tRNA from 1 species